rnacentral:rRNA from 1 species
GGGGGGGGGGGGGGGGGGGGGGGGGGGGGGGUGGGCGGGGGAGGGGGCGAGGGGGUGGCGCCGCGGACGUUAGAGGGGGAGGGGGGGGGAACGCGGGGAUAACCUACCUCUACGCGUGGGAUGACAUCGGGAAACCGGAGCGACUGGCGGAUAAUAUCUUAACACGCAUUGUUAACUAUUGGCAGACGGUUUUUCACUCAGCUAUAGACGGAGCCCAGACGCAUUAACUAGUUGGUAAGGUAACGGCCUACCAAGGCCACGAUGCGUAGCCGACCUGAGAGGGUGAUCGGCCACACUGGAACUGAGACACGGUCCAGGCGCCUACGGGAGGCAGCAGUAGGGAAUCGUCCGCAAUGGGCGAAAGCCUGACGGAGCAACGCCGCGUGAGUGAUGAAGGUCUUCGGAUCGUAAAACUCUGUUAUUAGGGAAGAACAAAUGUGUAAGUAACUAUGCACGUCUUGACGGUACCUAAUCAGAAAGCCACGGCUAACUACGUG